rnacentral:rRNA from 1 species
UAACGAAUAUUGGGCAAUGGGCGAAAGCCUGACCCAGCAAUGCCGCGUGAAUGAUGAAGGCCUUCGGGUUGUAAAGUUCAGUAAGCAGGGAAGAAUAAGCAACGGGUAAUAUUCGUUGUGAUGACGGUACCUGCCUAAAGCCCCGGCUAACUACGUGCCAGCAGCCGCGGUAAUACGUAUGGGGCAAGCGUUGUUCGGAAUUAUUGGGCGUAAAGGGCGUCUAGGCGGGGGAUUAAGUUAGAUGUGAAAGCUAUGGGCUCAACCCAUAAACUGCAUCUAAGACUGGUUCUCUUGAGUCCGGGAGAGGAGAGCGGAAUUCCAGGUGUAGCGGUGAAAUGCGUAGAUAUCUGGAAGAACACCAGUGGCGAAGGCGGCUCUCUGGCCUAGGACUGACGCUGAAGCGCGAAAGCGUGGGGAGCGAACA